rnacentral:rRNA from 1 species
AUUCUUGGUCAUUUAGAGGAAGUAAAAGUCGUAACAAGGUUUCCGUAGGUGAACCUGCGGAAGGAUCAUUAAAAAUAAUCUGGGGGUAGGAUCCAGUGGCUUUAGCGCUUCGGCGAUAGGGUACACGGCUCUCUUACCUGUUUGGCUAUUUAUACCCUUGAUUUUGCGUACCGUUGUUUCCUCGGCAGGCUUGCCUGUCGCUAGGACCCUUUUAAACUCUUUGUAAUUGCAAUCAGCGUCAGAAAUUUAUAAUAGCUACAACUUUCAACAACGGAUCUCUUGGUUCUGGCAUCGAUGAAGAACGCAGCGAAAUGCGAUAAGUAGUGUGAAUUGCAGAAUUCAGUGAAUCAUCGAAUCUUUGAACGCACAUUGCGCCCCUUGGUAUUCCAUGGGGCAUGCCUGUUCGAGCGUCAUUUGUACUCUCAAGCUCUGCUUGGUGUUGGGUGUUUGUCUCUACUUUACGUAUAGACUCGCCUUAAAAAGAUUGGCAGCCGGCAUAUUGUCUUGGAGCGCAGCACAUUUUGCGUCCCUUGCUUUGUUGUUAGCAUCCAGUAAGCGACUACAUUUGCUCUUGACCUCGGAUCAGGUAGGGAUACCCGCUGAACUUAAGCAUAUCAAUAAGCGGAGGAAAAGAAACCAACAGGGAUUGCCCUAGUAACGGCGAGUGAAGCGGCAACAGCUCAAAUUUGAAAUCUGGCUCUUUUAGAGUCCGAGUUGUAAUUUGCAGAGGGCGCUUUGGCGUUGGCAGCGGUCCAAGUUCCUUGGAACAGGACGUCACAGAGGGUGAGAAUCCCGUACGUGGUCGCUACCCUUCGCCGUGUAAAGCCCCUUCGACGAGUCGAGUUGUUUGGGAAUGCAGCUCUAAAUGGGAGGUAAAUUUCUUCUAAAGCUAAAUACUGGCCAGAGACCGAUAGCGCACAAGUAGAGUGAUCGAAAGAUGAAAAGAAUC